rfam:Methanoregula formicica SMSP chromosome, complete genome.
GCCUAUGUGACACAGCCCGGCAGUGUGCCUCCUUGGUAAGGAGGAAGUCCCGAGUUCAAAUCUCGGCAUAGGCU